CCACACAGCGGAUACAAUCCGCUUCCUGCUACACUGCUUUGGUCAACAGCACACAACAAAAAAAGGGUCAUGAGUUGAAAGCUCGGGCCAUUAACUGAAAGCUUUUUAUUUUGGUCGUUGACGGCGUGAAGGGGGUUCGCGGUGUGUCACAGUUCCUUGUGCCUCAGCUGACCGGCCAACGCGAAGAGUGAAGCAGGUGCAUCGAUACCGAGAAGGAGUCCAUCAUCAUGUGAAGAUCACACUUUCAUAUCUAGUACCGAGGUUCAUACUGUGACAUACUUUAUCAGGUUGAUAAUGAAUAUCAAGCUACAUUUGAGGAGGUAAACUGAUUUAGUCAAUACCUGGAAUACGUUACCUUACACUGUGCGUCUUUAGUCUCCGUCAUGUCCUCAUCUUCCAAUACUUUUUGGCAAAUGGGAACACACUGAAACCUCCAGAUUGAUAACGUCUGCAUAAAUAUGCAUCAGGGUAAGGAUAACUUCACUCAAAGACAUGUAUUGUUCUGUACAGUCAGUACAGAAGAGGUCAGUAACGGAAAUGACUGCAUCUUGCAGAGUAUUUUUGUUCACCCUUGGUGAGCUUUAACCUACCAGAAUGGGCCUUUUGUUUUCAGGAACGUUGGGGGACUAAGAGGACGUCUGGCUUUGGGCCGAGGCCGAGCCUUCUUCCAUGGGAGAACGACUGCUUGUUUGUUAACGCCAGAAAGCUCCCACGUGGUGAAAGGAACUCCGAUAAGCUUUUUCAUUGAACCGAAUGGCAAGUGCUCUGAGACAGAUUGUGUUAGAUUUACCUCCUCUUAUCUUUGUUAUGGUUGUAUAUAAUUAUGCCCGACAUGGCAUGCAGUAUGAGGCUUUGUCUGAAGUCGGAAUUGGUUCAUAACUUUUCCCUCG
ensembl:lncRNA